rnacentral:rRNA from 1 species
UACAGAGGUCCCAAGCGUUGUUCGGAUUCACUGGGCGUAAAGGGUGCGUAGGCGGUCGCGCAAGUCGGAUGUGAAAUCUCAGGGCUCAACCCUGAAACUGCAUUCGAUACUGCGUGGCUAGAGUGCUGGAGAGGAGACUGGAAUUUACGGUGUAGCAGUGAAAUGCGUAGAUAUCGUAAGGAAGACCAGUGGCGAAGGCGAGUCUCUGGACAGCAACUGACGCUGAGGCACGAAGGCCAGGGGAGCAAACGGG